rnacentral:lncRNA from 1 species
AAAAACAAAAUCCAGUCCAAACAAAUUCGGUUUUAAUACAUAAUAAGUACAACACAUAAUCCAGUCCAAACUCAAUACAUUUAACUAAUCUGAAAAUAAUUAAAAAAAAAAUUAAAUUUCACAAUUUUGAAUAUACCUUGAUGAAGACUUUGAAUCUGUUUGCUCCAAAUUCUUGAAUGAAUAAUUCACUCUUAGCUAUUUC